GACGAACGCUGGCGGCGUGCUUAACACAUGCAAGUCGAACGGAAAGGCCCUGCUUUUGUGGGGUGCUCGAGUGGCGAACGGGUGAGUAACACGUGAGUAACCUGCCCUUGACUUUGGGAUAACUUCAGGAAACUGGGGCUAAUACCGGGGAGGAGCCCCUGCUGCAUGGGGGGGGUUGGAAAGUGUCGGCGGUUGGGGCUCGACUCGCGGGUUAUCCGCUGGUUUGGGGGGUUGGUGCGUACCAAGGCUUUGAGGGGUAGCCGGCCUGAGAGGGGGAACGGGGACCUGGGGACUGCGAUACGGAGCAGACUGCAACGGGAGGCAGCAGGGGGAAAUAUUGCGGAACGGGGGGACGUGUGAUGCAGCAGCGUCGCGUGCGGGAUGCCGGCUUUCGGGUUGUAAACAGCUGUCGCAUGUGACGAAGCGGGAGUGACGGUAAUGGGUAAAGAAGCAACGGCUAACUACGUG
rnacentral:rRNA from 1 species